GACGAACGCUGGCGGCGUGCUUAACACAUGCAAGUCGAGCGCUGAUGCCUGCUUUUUGGGUGGGUGGAUGAGCGGCGAACGGGUGAGUAACACGUGGGUGACCUGCCCUCAGCUUUGGGAUAAGCCUGGGAAACUGGGUCUAAUACCGGGUAGGACUGCUGGUUGCAUGACUAGUGGUGGAAAGCCAGUUUGGCUGGCGGCUGGGGGAUGGGCCCGCGGCCUAUCAGCUUGUUGGUGGGGUGAUGGCCUACCAAGGCGG
rnacentral:rRNA from 1 species